CAAAGCUGCCCAAAAUGUAGAGUUGCCUGGUGGGAUCUCAGUUUGUGUGGGCCUUGGGUACUUUCAGCCCUCCAGGCUGGCUCACCUCAGGUGUAGCUCCAGACAAAAAUCCAAUUCAACCUUCUCGAAAGCAGCACUAGUUGUGUGUUCCUGCUCAGAGGGAAAUCUCAUUCUCAGACUCUUUGCAGAAUUUAAGGAGCCUGGUGCUUUAUGAGGGAAUGGUAAAAGCCAGGCCUUGCCCUUUGUGGGCAGUAACAGGGAUGCAUUUCCAGGGGAAGGCAUUUCCAGGGGGAGGCUCAUGUGGAGAUCAGGUUUGCAGAGGUACAAAUAGCUGAGAUUUUUGCCAAUGAGUCAUCCUGUGAGGAGAAACAGAGAAGUGGAAACAGGGCCCAAAAGGUGCCACUUUCUGCACAGCAUGAGCCAGGCUUGGAGGAUGUGGCAAAGCUGGAAGGGCCGGCAGGUUUUCUGUGAUAACACUGUGGGCACAGCAACCCUUUUGGAGAAACAGAAAGCAGGGCCUGUCCUGGUUAUUACAAUGAGUUCUGCUCAGGGGUAUCCUAGAAAACCACUUGGAAGCACCAGAGGAGAGAAAUGAAGUGCGGUUGGCUGGAAGGAGCGCCCUAUGCCACAUCACAAGACUUGAUCUCUUAUUUUCCCACUGCUUUAAUCUAUUCUGUUCUCUGUGUAGGGCUUAAACAAAAGUUACCUAAGAAGAUCCUGUCUCUUUGUUUUUAUCCUGCAUAUCAUUUUGUAGGAGGCAGCAAUUCCUGAACACAGCUCACAGCUCAGCAGUGGUGCAGAUGGGCCUUCUGGGUGAACAAUAAAACCAGUGCAGAAAUAAUGAGACUCAAAAGCUGCUGUUAAAUUGCAGGUUGAAGUUAUGAAUAAAUUCCCUCCUUCAGCUGGAAAUAUAGAAAUAUAUAGUGUGUAUUAACUGUCCAGUUCACUAAGGGCAUGGUUUUCAUGAGAGUCAUUCUCAUUUAAGCACUAAUAAAUACCCAGGCCGUCCAAAGGAAUUUUAAGUGUGUUGAAGACAGACACUGGUUGCUGAGCUCUUCUAAAAAUCUGGUCCCACUAAAUCAAGAGCAGACAGUCUCUCUUAUUCAACUCCUUGUCUGGUGGUGGUUAAACAAAUGCUUUUGAGUCUGAGGAACAUUAAAAUUCUGCAGCUUCCAUAAAUGACUUUGAUUUCAAGAUGAACAACGAGAUGUUCCAAUCAAAACCAAAACCACUGCAGAAUGUAGCAUUUGAAGGAAGCUGUGCUAAUUUCUUCAGAAACAAAUGUAGAAGUCAGUAACAUGAAACAGCUGACCACGAGCCAGAUGCUGCAGAGUGAUAACAAGGAGUGCAGGAAGCCCCCAAUAGCUUUGGCUUUCCAGAGAACUCGAAGAUCCAUAUGUGUACCUUUAGGGCUAGAACUCCUUCACUACAUGCAGUGGAGCUCCAGACACAAAAAGAAGAGCAGACUGUGCUUGCAGACACCAGGGAGUGAGCACCUCCUCCCUGUGGGGAGUAGUACAUUUGUCCCUUUGAAUAUCAAGUUAGGAAUUCAGUUAUUUUGCACAAAAAGCAGCUACAGAGUACAGUUGAUAAUAACCAAAAUACUUUCAACUGCUUUGAUAUGUUUCAUGAAUUCCCCUUGCCGUUAUAUUUAGAAUAAGCUCACAAGCCCCUACUAAAAUUACGAAAUAACUACUCGAGGAAAUGUGCAUUAUUUUCAAUUCUGCAUUCCUGUUCAAGAAACUAUUCAGUGCCCCCAAAUAUGACCGUGCCCUCUAUUAAAUCCAUUGCAUCUUGACUCUAUUCUGACCCAUUGCACACUCUUUAAUCACAAUUCGACCAAAUUUGACACUGAAUAAUGGCGCAGACUCUGAAUCA